rnacentral:lncRNA from 1 species
AUACAGUGAAACCUGUCCAAACCGAACACCCACGGGACUUUGCGUUUUGUUCGGUUUUCACAGGUGUUCGGAUUGUAGAGGUAAACGGAAGUCGACACCAAAAUAAUUUUGGCAUUUACUGACGAGGGAUAAUAGGUGACACAACAGACGACAGUUUAUUUUUGUGUUGAUUUAGAUGUAAAUGUAAAAAUAAAAGAAGAUG